rnacentral:rRNA from 1 species
AAUGAACGUUGGCGGCGUGGAUUAGGCAUGCAAGUCGCGCGCAAAGCGUAGCAAUACGUGGAAAGCGGCGUAAGGGAGAGUAAUCCAUGGUUAGCUACCCUCGGGACUGGGAUAGCGGCGGGAAACUGCCGGUAAUACCAGAUGACAUCUUCGGAUCAAAGGUGUGAAUCCGCCCGGGGAGGCGACCAUGUCCUAUCAGCUUGUUGGCGGGGUAACGGACCC